AUGUUCAACAAUGUUGUUGCAUCUAUGGCACUUAGGGAAGUGGCCAGAACUGGGGCAAGGUAUACUUGGACUAACAAGCAACUAGCCCCGGUGCGAUCCGUCUUGGAUCGGGUUUUCAUGUCUCCAGACUGGGAAGUGGUGUUUCCACUCUGCUCGCUCCUUGCAGAAACCAGGAUUGGUUCGGACCAUGUGCCCCUCAUCUUAUCCUCAGGGGAGGACAUGAUUCGCCGCAGCCCGCGGUUCUUCUUCGAAACCGCGUGGUUUGAGGUCCCAGAUUUCGACUCCAUCUUUAAGGGAGAGAUGGUUGCGAAGCGUCCAACUCGCAGGCCAGCAACGCGGCCCUAUGGAGUUUUGGAUCGCUAUCGGGGGCCGCCUCCGCGCAAGCCUAAAGGGAUGGGGCGCGAACCAGGGGCGUGCUGA
rnacentral:rRNA from 1 species